GACGAACGCUGGCGGCGUGCUUAACACAUGCAAGUCGAACGGAAAGGCCCUGCUUUUGUGGGGUGCUCGAGUGGCGAACGGGUGAGUAACACGUGAGUAACCUGCCCUUGACUUUGGGAUAACUUCAGGAAACUGGGGCUAAUACCGGAUAGGAGCUCCUGCUGCAUGGUGGGGGUUGGAAAGUUUCGGCGGUUGGGGAUGGACUCGCGGCUUAUCAGCUUGUUGGUGGGGUAGUGGCUUACCAAGGCUUUGACGGGUAGCCGGCCUGGGAGGGUGACCGGCCACAUUGGGACUGAGAUACGGCGCAGACUCCUACGGGAGGCAGCAGUGGGGAAUAUUGCACAAUGGGCGGAAGCCUGAGGCAGCAACGCCGCGUGCGGGAUGACGGCCUUCGGGUUGUAAACCGCUUUCGCCUGUGACGAAGCGUGAGUGACGGUAAUGGGUAAAGAAGCACCGGCUAACUACGUG
rnacentral:rRNA from 1 species